rnacentral:rRNA from 1 species
AUGAUAAACCUAGUUCAUCCUCCUGACGAGCUGGUUGAUGUAGUUCUCACGGUUGCCGGCAUCACCACCCUCGACGUAGUGGUUCCUCUUCUUCUUGAGGCCUCCCAGCGGCGCCUUCAGCUUGAAGGGCCACAGGAAGUUGUUGGCCUCCUUGAAGUGAGGGCCAACGGUCAAGAUCUCGUGCACAAGGUCCUCAAUGCAGAUGAUGUUGUGCUUUCCAAGACCCUGGUUAACAAGAUAAACAAAAUGGUCAGGAUCAUCCCAGAGUUGCAUUUGGAGAUGCAAAGUAAAGAUCCAGGAUCAUCCCAGAGUUGCAUUUGGAGAUGCAAAGUAAAGAUCCAUAUGUUGGGCAAUUUAACUGCUUACCUCCUCAAUGACCUUGUUGUUGGUCAGAGGAAUCCUUUGCUUGUUGAGCUUGCCAUAACCUCUCUUGUAGAUCAACUCCCUCACACUCUUCAGGUUCGGGUACCUACAAAUAUAAUGAUUUGA